rnacentral:misc_RNA from 1 species
GCACUGUUUAAAUAAUCAUUUGGUAAUAGUUAUUUUUUUCAAUGAAAAUUUUCACUUCAAUCUUUGCCAUCAAGUGUUUGAUAUGUUACAUUAUUGCAAUAUACUCUGCUUGUUUUCAUGGCUGUGUGUGAGCAUUUCAUUUUCAAAACCCUGUUUUUGUAUUCUGUUAUUUGUAUGGGAGGCAAUUUAUAUCCCAACCUGUCAAUAAUUUGUAGAAGCCAAGGUAGUCAAAUGUGAAAGGUGCCUGAUGCGUUUGGUGCCAAUUCUUAUAAUAGUUGAUUUGAUCGGUUAGGAAUAUUUAGAAUGGUGAUAAAAAAGAAUAUGAUUGAAUUAUUAUUACUGGUUUACUAACCUAGAAAAUCAUUCAAUACAAAAUUAAUAAACAAUAGUUUUCACACUAAAUUUGGAGUGUUUGAUUGAUUAAAAGUGGGAAAAGGCAAAAAAGAGAGUACAAAUUCUGAAGAGAGAGAGAGAGAGAGAG